rnacentral:rRNA from 1 species
AGGACGAACGCUGGCGGCGUGCCUAAUGCAUGCAAGUCGCACGCAGGAGCUUCGGCUUCUGAGUGGGCGCGACGGACGUGAGGAACACGGUGGGAAACGGCCCUUCGGUGGGGGACAACCCGGCGAAAGCCAGGCUAAUCCCGCAUACGCUCUGCGGAGGAAAGCAGCAAUGCGCCGAAGAACGUGCCCCGCGGCCCAUCAGGUAGUUGGCGGGGUAACGGCCCACCAAGCCGGUGACGGGUUGCUGGUCUGUGAGGACGACCAGCCAGACUGGGACUGAGAACGGCCCAGACUCCUACGGGAGGCAGCAGCAAGGAAUUUUCGGCAAUGGGCGCAAGCCUGACCGAGCAACGCCGCGUGGAGGAUGACGGCUUUCGGGUUGUAAACUCCUUUUGGGGGGGAUGAUAAUGACCGUACCCCCCGAAUAAGCCCCGGCUAACUCUGUGCCAGCAGCCGC